UUGUGCCUCUGAUUUCUUUGUAUUAGUCUAUGCCAAGGGAAAAUAGGGUGGAAAAUGAUUUGGUUACUUCUCUGUUUAUCCGUUCUCCCAGGUGUGCAGUUGAUCAAAUUGGAGGAGUCUGAAGGGGCUGUGAGAAGACCUGGAGAGUCCCUUCAUCUCUCCUGCCAAGCCUCUGGAUUCACCUUCAGCAGCUAUAACAUGGUCUGGGCGAGACAGGUUCCUGGGAAAGGACUGGAAUGGUUGGCCUUAAUAGGUACAGGCUCAUCUCCUGCCACUUACUAUUCAGAUAAAGUCAAGGGACGCUUCAUCAUCUCCAGGGAUGAUUCCAGUAGUCUGUUAUAUCUGCAAAUGAACAAUCUCAAAGCAGAAGACACAGCACUUUAUUACUGUGCAAGAGA